UGCAUAUCAAUAAGCGGAGGAAAAGAAAAUAACAAUGAUUCCCCUAGUAACGGCGAGUGAAGAGGGACAAGCUCAAAUUUUAAAUCUGUUAGGUUAUACCUAUCAGAGUUGUAUUUUGAAGAAGCGUUUUCCGCGUCUCGGUUGACCCAAAUCCUUUGGGAUAAGGUAUCAUGGAGGGUGAGAAUCCCGUUCGGUUGACCUUAUGACGCUCUACGAUACGCUUUCAAAGAGUCGAGUUGUUUGGGAUUGCAGCUCAAAAUGGGAGGUAAAUUUCUCCUAAGGCUAAAUAUCGGCGAGAGACCGAUAGCGAACAAGUACCGUGAGGGAAAGAUGAAAAGAACUUUGAAAAGAGAGUUAAAAAGUAUGUGAAAUUGUUGAAAGGGAAACGAUUGAAGUCAGUCGUGCAGUCAUCAAUUCAGCGGGUAUCGUGAGUAAUUUAUUGCUUACGUUUCCGUGUACUUUGUUGUCUGCUGGUUAGCAUCAAUUUUAAUUGUCAUAAAAAGGUUGAGGGGAUGUGGCUCCUUCGGGAGUGUUAUAACCCUUAACGGAAUGUGGCGAUUGGGAUUGAGGUUUGCAACGGAUACCUUCCGUCUGGUCUCUUGUUGGCGUUCAGAUAGCAACAGCUUGCUUUUGUUGUUUGAAUAGUUAGCAAAUAGAUUGGAAUGUGAAUAAUUCGUUAAGGAUGUUGACGUA
rnacentral:rRNA from 1 species